CAACAAAAAAAAAAAGGGGGAAAGAAAGAGAGAGGGUUCGGCCAAGGUAUGGCCAAGCAUGGCCAUGGGAGAUUUGAUCAAGAAAAAUUAUUUCUUUCAAGCUUUUAUACUAAGUGGAAGGUUCUCUACAACGUGGAGUAUUCGUUGGAACAAGUGAAUCAUUCGUUUCGCAAAAAUGAGGUUCUAGCCGGGAAAAGGAACUAGUGCUAAGAUUAACAAGUUGGACGAAUAAGCGUAGCUAGUAAGGCGCGGCGCAGGUACACCCAGAUGAGCUGAGGCCCUUAUAGAAGAUGUUCCAGCGAAGUUGGCGAGCUCCAGUUAGCCCGGGAGUGUAGCCGAGUCAGUGUAUAUGUGCCAUGGUUUCCGAUUGCAGUUAGAGACUUUGCAGACAGAGUCGUGGGUAUAGAGCGUCAGCUUUGUAGACGGCUUCGCCUGUCAAUAUGUUAUUACGUUUCAUGUCACGCGUUCCAUAUGAUGAUACACUCUCCAAAAUAAAAUAAAAUUGAGAGCUUACUAUACAUUUU